UGCAGUCGAACGGUGAACACGGAGCUUGCUCUGUGGGAUCAGUGGCGAACGGGUGAGUAACACGUGAGCAACCUGCCCCUGACUCUGGGAUAAGCGCUGGAAACGGCGUCUAAUACUGGAUAUGUGACGUGACCGCAUGGUCUGCGUCUGGAAAGAAUUUCGGUUGGGGAUGGGCUCGCGGCCUAUCAGCUUGUUGGUGAGGUAAUGGCUCACCAAGGCGUCGACGGGUAGCCGGCCUGAGAGGGUGACCGGCCACACUGGGACUGAGACACGGCCCAGACUCCUACGGGAGGCAGCAGUGGGGAAUAUUGCACAAUGGGCGCAAGCCUGAUGCAGCAACGCCGCGUGAGGGACGACGGCCUUCGGGUUGUAAACCUCUUUUAGCAGGGAAGAAGCGAAAGUGACGGUACCUGCAGAAAAAGCGCCGGCUAACUACGUGCCAGCAGCCGCGGUAAUACGUAGGGCGCAAGCGUUAUCCGGAAUUAUUGGGCGUAAAGAGCUCGUAGGCGGUUUGUCGCGUCUGCUGUGAAAUCCGGAGGCUCAACCUCCGGCCUGCAGUGGGUACGGGCAGACUAGAGUGCGGUAGGGGAGAUUGGAAUUCCUGGUGUAGCGGUGGAAUGCGCAGAUAUCAGGAGGAACACCGAUGGCGAAGGCAGAUCUCUGGGCCGUAACUGACGCUGAGGAGCGAAAGGGUGGGGAGCAAACAGGCUUAGAUACCCUGGUAGUCCACCCCGUAAACGUUGGGAACUAGUUGUGGGGUCCAUUCCACGGAUUCCGUGACGCAGCUAACGCAUUAAGUUCCCCGCCUGGGGAGUACGGCCGCAAGGCUAAAACUCAAAGGAAUUGACGGGGACCCGCACAAGCGGCGGAGCAUGCGGAUUAAUUCGAUGCAACGCGAAGAACCUUACCAAGGCUUGACAUAUACGAGAACGGGCCAGAAAUGGUCAACUCUUUGGACACUCGUAAAC
rnacentral:rRNA from 1 species